rnacentral:rRNA from 1 species
UAGGGAAUCUUCCACAAUGGGCGCAAGCCUGAUGGAGCAACGCCGCGUGAGUGAAGAAGGUCUUCGGAUCGUAAAACUCUGUUGUUAGAGAAGAACAUGCAGGAGAGUAACUGUUCUUGUAUCGACGGUAUCUAACCAGAAAGCCACGGCUAACUACGUGCCAG